rnacentral:rRNA from 1 species
UAAACUACGAUUAGAUACCCUAUUAUUUUAAAUGUGAAGGAUAAAUACUGGAGUAGUAUGAGAUAUGAUCUUGAAACUCAAAGAAUUUGGCGGUGUUUUAGUCCUUUCAGAGGAACCUGUCCCGUAAUCGAUAUUCCACGUUAUACCUUACUUAAUUUUGUUAAUCAGUUUGUAUACCGCCGUCGUCAGAAUGUCCUAUAAGGGUUGGAAUUUUCUUUAUUUGGAAUAAUUAAUUGAUGUCAGGUCAAGGUGCAGUUUAUGAUUAAGUGGAGGUGGGUUACAAUAAAUUUAUUUAAUACGGAUAGUUGUUUGUAAAUUAAUGAUUUGAAGGUGGAUUUGAAUGUAAUUAUAUAUAGAAUAGUAUUUUGAUUUAGGCUCUAAAACAUGCACACAUCGCCCGUCGCUCUUA